CGGGGGGGUAACUUCGAUAUUUUCUUGGUAGGGGUGUGCCAUUUUUGCCUCAAAAAACGUACCCAUUUUAAUAUAACAUUCACUGAAAUUCAGUACCUAUAGUUAUAUAAAUAUUUAAGAAAGAAUGACCUAUACUUAUAUAACGUGAAUAUUUAAAAUAUGACCCAUGCUUAUAUAAGCACUAACUCACCGGGGUUCAUUUGGGAACUUAUUUAAAAGCACUUUGUUUGAAAGGUGAACUUCAAAUGAAUUGAUUUAAUUUAAUAUAAUAAUUGACCAUUAAUAAUGUAUGAUUCUCAAUAGCAUAUUUAUAUAUGAUAUGUAGAUCAUACCCCGAAUCAAUAUAUAGUUAUCAAACGUAAAUGCAUUUUAAUAUAGAAUGUCAUUAAAAAGGAGGGUCAUUUUUAUAUAAAAUCUCGCAAAAUUAUGACCCAUAUUUUUGGCACAUCCCCGUAUACCCAAUAAUAGGAAGUUGACCCCCCGUGUGCAAAUUAAAGAAA
rnacentral:lncRNA from 1 species